UGGGGAAUAUUGCACAAUGGGCGAAAGCCUGAUGCAGCGACGCCGCGUGAGGGAUGACGGCCUUCGGGUUGUAAACCUCUUUCAGCAGGGAAGAAGCGAAAGUGACGGUACCUGCAGAAGAAGCACCGGCUAACUACGUGCCAGCAGCCGCGGUAAUACGUAGGGUGCGAGCGUUGUCCGGAAUUAUUGGGCGUAAAGAGCUCGUAGGCGGCUUGUCACGUCGGAUGUGAAAGCCCGGGGCUUAACCCCGGGUCUGCAUUCGAUACGGGCAGGCUAGAGUGUGGUAGGGGAGAUCGGAAUUCCUGGUGUAGCGGUGAAAUGCGCAGAUAUCAGGAGGAACACCGGUGGCGAAGGCGGAUCUCUGGGCCAUUACUGACGCUGAGGAGCGAAAGCGUGGGGAGCGAACA
rnacentral:rRNA from 1 species